rnacentral:rRNA from 1 species
AGAGUUUGAUCAUGGCUCAGAAUCAACGCUGGCGGCGUGCCUGACACAUGCAAGUCGAACGAGAAAGUGGAGCAAUCCAUGAGUACAGUGGCGACCGGGUGAGUAACACGUGACUAACCUACCCUCGAGUGGGGAAUAACUCCGGGAAACCGGAGCUAAUACCGCAUAACAUCGCAAGAUCAAAGCAGCAAUGCGCUUGAGGAGGGGGUCGCGGCUGAUUAGCUAGUUGGCGGGGUAACGGCCCACCAAGGCGAAGAUCGGUAUCCGGCCUGAGAGGGCGCACGGACACACUGGAACUGAAACACGGUCCAGACUCCUACGGGAGGCAGCAGUGGGGAAUUUUGCGCAAUGGGGGAAACCCUGACGCAGCAACGCCGCGUGGGGGAUGAAGUCCCUUGGGAUGUAAACUCCUUUCGACCGGGAAGAUACUGACGGUACCGGAAGAAGAAGCACCGGCUAACUCUGUGCCAGCAGCCGCGGUAAUACAGAGGGUGCGAGCGUUGUUCGGAAUUAUUGGGCGUAAAGGGCGCGUAGGCGGUGCGGUAAGUCACCUGUGAAAUCUCCUGGCUCAACUGGGAGUCUGCAGGCGAAACUGCCGUGCUGGAGUAUGGGAGAGGUGCGUGGAAUUCCCGGUGUAGCGGUGAAAUGCGUAGAUAUCGGGGAGGAACACCUGUGGCGAAAGCGGCGCACUGGACCAUAACUGACGCUGAGGCGCGAAAGCUAGGGGAGCAAACAGGAUUAGAUACCCUUGUAGUCC